UACGUAGGUGGCGAGCGUUGUCCGGAUUUACUGGGCGUAAAGAGCGCGCAGGCGGUCGUACAAGUCGCGUGUGAAAGCCCCCGGCUUAACUGGGGAGGGUCACGCGAUACUGUUCGACUCGAAGGCAGGAGAGGGAAGCGGAAUUCCCGGUGUAGUGGUGAAAUGCGUAGAUAUCGGGAGGAACACCAGUGGCGAAGGCGGCUUCCUGGCCUGUUCUUGACGCUGAGGCGCGAAAGCGUGGGGAGCGAACAGG
rnacentral:rRNA from 1 species